UACGAAGGGGGCUAGCGUUGUUCGGAAUUACUGGGCGUAAAGGGCGCGUAGGCGGCUUCGAUAGUCAGGCGUGAAAGGCCUGGGCUCAACCCAGGAACUGCGCUUGAUACUGUGAGGCUAGAGUGUGGGAGAGGAUGGUGGAAUUCCCAGUGUAGAGGUGAAAUUCGUAGAUAUUGGGAAGAACACCGGUGGCGAAGGCGACCAUCUGGACCACUACUGACGCUGAGGCGCGAAAGCGUGGGGAGCAAACAGGAUUAGAUACCCCUGUAGU
rnacentral:rRNA from 1 species